AUACGGAGGAUCCGAGCGUUAUCCGGAUUUAUUGGGUUUAAAGGGUGCGCAGGUGGGAUAUUAAGUCAGCUGUGAAAGUUUGGGGCUCAACCUUAAAAUUGCAGUUGAUACUGGUUUCCUUGAGUACGGUACAGGUGGGCGGAAUUCGUGGUGUAGCGGUGAAAUGCUUAGAUAUCACGAAGAACUCCGAUCGCGAAGGCAGCUCACCGGGCCGGAACUGACACUGAUGCUCGAAAGUGCGGGUAUCAAACAGGAUUAGAUACCCUGGUAGUCCGCACAGUAAACGAUGAAUACUCGCUGUUUGCGAUACACUGUAAGCGGCCAAGCGAAAGCGUUAAGUAUUCCACCUGGGGAGUACGCCGGCAACGGUGAAACUCAAAGGAAUUGACGGGG
rnacentral:rRNA from 1 species